UACGUAGGGUGCAAGCGUUGUCCGGAAUUAUUGGGCGUAAAGAGCUCGUAGGCGGUUCGUCGCGUCGGCUGUGAAAUCCCGAGGCUCAACCUCGGGUCUGCAGUCGAUACGGGCGGACUGGAGUUCGGCAGGGGAGACUGGAAUUCCUGGUGUAGCGGUGGAAUGCGCAGAUAUCAGGAGGAACACCGGUGGCGAAGGCGGCUUUCUGGACGACAACUGACGCUGAGACGCGAAAGCGUGGGGAGCAAACAGG
rnacentral:rRNA from 1 species